rnacentral:ncRNA from 2 species
GCCCUGCAUUAAGAGUUGGAACUUCCAUGCCAACCUGCUGUUGUACAGUAAGGUGGACGGUUUAACAAACCGAUGUGGCUUUGGGUUUUUAUCCCAAGCAAUCCAAACCCGCUUAA